CCUACGGGAGGCAGCAGUGGGGAAUCUUGCGCAAUGGGCGAAAGCCUGACGCAGCAACGCCGCGUGCGGGAAGAAGGCUUUCGGGCUGUAAACCGCUUUCAGCAGGAACGAAAAUGACGGUACCUGCAGAAGAAGGAGCGGCCAACUAUGUGCCAGCAGCCGCGGUGAUACAUAGGCUUCAAGCGUUGUCCGGAUUUAUUGGGCGUAAAGAGUUCGUAGGCGGUCGAGUAAGUCGGGUGUGAAAAUUCUGGGCUCAACCCAGAGACGCCACCCGAUACUGCUUGACUUGAGUUCGAUAGGGGAGUGGGGAAUUCCUAGUGUAGCGGUGAAAUGCGCAGAUAUUAGGAGGAACACCGGUGGCGAAGGCGCCACUCUGGAUCGAUACUGACGCUGAGGAACGAAAGCAUGGGUAGCAAACAGGAUUAGAUACCCUGGUAGUCCAUGCCGUAAACGGUGGGCACUAGGUGUGGGUUUCUAUUAACGAAAUCCGCGCCGUCGCUAACGCAUUAAGUGCCCGCCUGGGGAGUACGGUGCAAGCUAAACUCAAAGGAAUUGACGGNUUGAGAGUUGCGAGCGACGACGAGGGAGAG
rnacentral:rRNA from 1 species